rnacentral:rRNA from 1 species
UGGGGAAUAUUGCACAAUGGGCGAAAGCCUGAUGCAGCAACGCCGCGUGAGUGAUGAAGGUCUUCGGAUUGUAAAGCUCUGUCUUUUGGGACGAUAAUGACGGUACCAAAGGAGGAAGCCACGGCUAACUACGUGCCAGCAGCCGCGGUAAUACGUAGGUGGCGAGCGUUGUCCGGAUUUACUGGGCGUAAAGGGUGCGUAGGCGGAUGUUUAAGUGAGAUGUGAAAUACCCGGGCUUAACUUGGGUGCUGCAUUUCAAACUGGAUAUCUAGAGUGCAGGAGAGGAGAAUGGAAUUCCUAGUGUAGCGGUGAAAUGCGUAGAGAUUAGGAAGAACACCAGUGGCGAAGGCGAUUCUCUGGACUGUAACUGACGCUGAGGCACGAAAGCGUGGGUAGCAAACAGGAUUAGAUA